rnacentral:rRNA from 1 species
GUGGGGAAUAUUGGACAAUGGGCGCAAGCCUGAUCCAGCCAUGCCGCGUGAGUGAUGAAGGCCUUAGGGUUGUAAAGCUCUUUCAGCUGGGAAGAUAAUGACGGUACCAGCAGAAGAAGCCCCGGCUAACUUCGUGCCAGCAGCCGCGGUAAUACGAAGGGGGCUAGCGUUGUUCGGAAUCACUGGGCGUAAAGCGCACGUAGGCGGAUCGAUAAGUCAGGGGUGAAAUCCCGAGGCGCAACCUCGGAACUGCCUUUGAUACUGUCGACCUUGAGUCCGGGAGAGGUGAGUGGAACUCCGAGUGUAGAGGUGAAAUUCGUAGAUAUUCGGAAGAACACCAGUGGCGAAGGCGGCUCACUGGCCCGGUACUGACGCUGAGGUGCGAAAGCGUGGGGAGCAAACAGGAUUAGAUACCCCGGUAGUCC